rnacentral:rRNA from 1 species
UACGAAGGGUGCAAGCGUUACUCGGAAUUACUGGGCGUAAAGCGUGCGUAGGUGGUUUGUUAAGUCUGCUGUGAAAGCCCCGGGCUCAACCUGGGAAUGGCAGUGGAUACUGGCAAGCUGGAGUGCGGUAGAGGGUAGUGGAAUUCCCGGUGUAGCGGUGAAAUGCGUAGGAGAUCGGGAGGAACACCAGUGGCGAAGGCGGCUACCUGGACCAGCACUGGACACUGAGGCAC